CCUACGGGGUGCAGCAGUGGGGAAUAUUGCGCAAUGGGCGAAAGCCUGACGCAGCGACGCCGCGUGAGGGAUGAAGGUCUUCGGAUCGUAAACCUCUGUCAGCAGGGAAGAACGGUCACUGUGCUAAUCAGCAGUGAAUUGACGGUACCUGCAAAGGAAGCACCGGCUAACUCCGUGCCAGCAGCCGCGGUAAUACGGAGGGUGCGAGCGUUAAUCGGAAUUACUGGGCGUAAAGCGCUCGUAGGCGGUAUGUCAAGUCAAGGGUGAAAUCCCCGCGCUCAACGUGGGAACUGCCUUUGAAACUGGCAAACUGGAGUGUGUGAGAGGAUAGUGGAAGUCCAGGGGUAGGAGUGAAAGCCGUAGAUAUCUGGAGGAACAUCAGUGGCGAAGGCGACUAUCUGGCACAUAACUGACGCUGAGGAGCGAAAGCGUGGGUAGCAAACAGGAUUAGAUACCCUAGUAGUC
rnacentral:rRNA from 1 species